rnacentral:lncRNA from 1 species
UCCAACGCGGGGUGCCGAGGCCGCCUGGCCAUAGCCCCACCCCGCCUCUUUGCUCUCAGUCUGCCUGGUGUCAGGGACGCUGGGGCCGGAGCUGCUACCGCCCGCCGCUGUCUACACUGUCCUCUCGUUUGGCGUUUGGCGGGUUCGCCUCCCAGCAGCACCCGGGCGGGCGAGCGACUUCUGGGCCGAGACAGCUGGUGCUGAGCGGCCGCAGGUUGCCCUCCCGGAAUGCUGCCUCCACCCCUGGAGCUGACCUCCCCAGGACAGUGAGGAGCCACAUCUCCUGCUCUGGUGCUCCUAACAGCUGUGACGCCAGUUUGGUGGUGAGGAGGGGCUGGGGAGCAUGUGGCACAGGCCGCUGGGUUCUCAGGGGCUUCACAUCUAUCUCCACUGCCCACGUCCAUCACUCCUCACGUGCUCUGCAGCUGCCAUGUGGGAGGGGCAGUCACUGCGAAAUGGGGGAACAUGGGAGGAUCUGGUGACACAUAGUAGGUACUUGAUAAAUGUGUGUGGAGAAAAGGAGAAGAGGAGAAAAGGAGGGAGGGAGAGGGCUGCUGAGUAAGUUGAUGUCUUAGUGGAUUGCCACGUGGAGUGUUGGAAAUAGAUGCUCGGUGCUGGAAAGAUGGGUACACGGACAUGUUGGUGAGUGAGCUGUUGAAUGAGGGAAGGAAGGCUGGAUGAGGGAGCGAGUGUUUGGGAGGAGGAAUGUUCACCCCGUGGCUCUGAGUGUUACAGCUAAAGGAGGAGCUGAGAGCUCUCGAAUCCCUGCCCUACCCACUUGACAGCUGAGAAGACCGAGAGAGGGCUGGGCAGAAAGAAAAUUGCUGGUUCUGUGGCCCGGCAGCCUCUGGUUCUCCCCUAUCCCUCUUCCUCUGCCCCCAUCCCCUGCUUUCCCCUACUGGGAUUGGGGAAUGUUCCGGGAAGGAUGCCUUUUUUCCACCUCUUUGCUCCUUUAAACCCAGUUUCCGCCAGGCACUAGGCGUGGUGUUGGGGAUGGGAGGGAGCCGGUGGCCCCCACAGGGGCUCUUUUAGUCAGAGCCAGCCCUGCCAGGAAGCAGAGGAAGCUGCUCACCCUGUCAGAGGAGUUGCAGCGUGGCCGAGGCAGGAGAGUGGGAGUCUCAGCUCUGGCUUCCCUUUCCCCGACACACUUGGG